UUACUCUAAAACAAACAAACAAAAAAGAAUUGAAAUGUAAACAUGAACAAGAGAGUUGUUUCCUAGAUUCUGAAUUAGAGUACAUUUUUCCCCCCUUCUGCUUGUUUUUAGAUCAACAGACGCCUAGAAUCUUUUCUCACAUCUCACCAGAACACUUAAGUGGGAUCUCUGUGUAGGAAUGAAAUCCUGAAGUGUUUGAGUUGAGCCUACGAAGCCAGAAGACAGGAAAUGAACUCCUGCAAGAGCAUAUUUUGGAAUUGGGCAUGCAUAAUUGCAUAAUAUUUUGCUGUCUCCUGCUGGAUGUUAAAAUGCUCAAAAGGCUGGUGAUUACAUAGACCAGAAAAGGUAGAAGACUCAACGUGUAAGGUACAUGACCACACUCUUUAAUCAUCUGGGGAUCCUUGGCUGGUAACCUGGAUGUCAGAGCUGUG